rnacentral:tRNA from 1 species
GGGGCGGUAGCUCAGCUGGUUAGAGCAGGGGACUCAUAAUCCUCCGGUUCGUGGGUUCGAGUCCCACCCGCCCCA